rnacentral:snRNA from 1 species
GGAUGUGAAGGGACCUGGCUGCUGAUCCCCGGGGCUGAUCUGGCCGAUCGGGCUGGCUAGGCAGGUGUCCGCUGCCUUCCUCCCUGCCCAUGUUCGUCCCUCCUGAAGCUGCUCUCGGAGGCCGGGGAGGAACCUCCCCGCUACAGGAGGGCCAGUCUUCGGUACAGGGACUACGAGGAGCUGCGCUCCCUGCUAGAACCUCCAACGAAGCUUCCAAGUGCCGCCAUCUUUUAUUACUUAUUGUAUUGCACUGAAUGUAAACAUCUACUCUUCAUUGACAUUCAUUUCCAGAAAGGCAAGAAAU